AUUGAACGCUGGCGGCAUGCUUUACACAUGCAAGUCGAACGGUAACAGGCCGCAAGGUGCUGACGAGUGGCGAACGGGUGAGUAAUGCAUCGGAACGUGCCCAGUCGUGGGGGAUAACUACUCGAAAGAGUCGCUAAUACCGCAUACGAUCUAUGGAUGAAAGCGGGGGACCGUAAGGCCUCGCGCGAUUGGAGCGGCCGAUGUCAGAUUAGGUAGUUGGUGGGGUAAAGGCUCACCAAGCCAACGAUCUGUAGCUGGUCUGAGAGGACGACCAGCCACACUGGGACUGAGACACGGCCCAGACUCCUACGGGAGGCAGCAGUGGGGAAUUUUGGACAAUGGGCGCAAGCCUGAUCCAGCAAUGCCGCGUGCAGGAAGAAGGCCUUCGGGUUGUAAACUGCUUUUGUACGGAACGAAACGGCUCUGGUUAAUACCCGGGGCUAAUGACGGUACCGUAAGAAUAAGCACCGGCUAACUACGUG
rnacentral:rRNA from 1 species